ACGGGUGAGUAACGCGUAGGUAAUCUACCAAAGUGUCUGGAAUAACCUGCCGAAAGGCGGGCUAAUACUGGAUAGUGCGACGGAAUCCGUAAUUGGGUUUUUCGGGAAAGGGAGGCAGCAAUGCCCUUCGCACUUUGAUGAGCCUGCGUCUCAUUAGCUAGUUGGUGGGGUAACGGCCCACCAAGGCAUUGAUGAGUAGCUGGUCUGAGAGGAUGAUCAGCCACACUGGAACUGAGACACGGUCCAGACUCCUACGGGAGGCAGCAGUGGGGAAUCUUGCGCAAUGGACGAAAGUCUGACGCAGCCACGCCGCGUGAGUGAAGAAAGCCUUCGGGUUGUAAAGCUCUGUCGAGCGGGACGAACAUCUUGGGUGUUAACAGCAUCCAGGACUGACGGUACCGCUAAAGGAAGCACCGGCUAACUCUGUGCCAGCAGCCGCGGUAAUACAGAGGGUGCAAGCGUUGCUCGGAAUCAUUGGGCGUAAAGGGUAGGUAGGUGGUCUCAUUUGUCUGGGGUGAAAGCCUCGAGCUUAACUCGAGAAGUGCCCCGGAAACGGUGAGACUGGAGUCUUGGAGAGGGUCGUGGAAU
rnacentral:rRNA from 1 species